rnacentral:rRNA from 1 species
UACAGAGGUCCCGAGCGUUGUUCGGAUUCAUUGGGCGUAAAGGGUGCGUAGGCGGCGAGCUAAGUUUGGUGUGAAAUCCUGGGGCUUAACCUCAGAAUUGCACUGAAUACUGGUUUGCUAGAGGACUGGAGAGGAGAUUGGAAUUCACGGUGUAGCAGUGAAAUGCGUAGAUAUCGUGAGGAAGACCAGUGGCGAAAGCGAAUCUCUGGACAGCUCCUGACGCUGAUGCACGAAGGCUAGGGGAGCAAACGGG